UACGAAGGGGGCUAGCGUUGUUCGGAUUUACUGGGCGUAAAGCGCACGUAGGCGGAUCGUUAAGUCGGGGGUGAAAUCCUGGAGCUCAACUCCAGAACUGCCUUCGAUACUGGCGAUCUUGAGUCCGGAAGAGGUGAGUGGAACUCCUAGUGUAGAGGUGGAAUUCGUAGAUAUUAGGAAGAACACCGGUGGCGAAGGCGGCUCACUGGCUCAUUUCUGACGCUCAGGCGCGACAGCGUGGGGAUCAAACAGG
rnacentral:rRNA from 1 species